CGGGUAUAAAAGGGGCUGGGAAGGUGUGAGGCUCCUUCAUCUCCCAGGGGCAGGUGGGUGAGGAGGAGGAGGAGGCACCAAAGGGGGUCAUGGCAGCUUUCCUGCUCUUGGCACCGCUGCUCCUGCUGGGGACAGCGGCUGGCCAAGCAGACACAGAGAUGGAAGAGUGCCUUUGGCUCCGGAACGUGACCGAGGGGAAUUUCUCUGUGCUAAUAACACCUGAGACCUACCAGGCCAACAAAACCUACCUGGUGACCAUAAAUGAUGACAGGAACCAGAGCAGCAGCUCGGGGCCGCUCCUGCUGCAGGCCCUGUCCCCCCAGAACAGCUCGGUGGGGGAGUGGAGGGACGCAGGCACCGGCAGCUGCAGCUCUGUGCUCACAGCCGUGUUAAACACCACCCAGAGCAGCGCCCGCUGGACAUCCCCCAACAGCGACCUCUCCUCUGUGCACAUCAGGGUCUAUCUCAUCCACCCUGGUAACCUCACCGAGCUCAAGACUUGGAUGCUGAGCAGAGGGGCAGAAACCACCACGGUGCCCCCCAACAGCACCUCAGCCCCCAACAGCACCUCAGCCCCCAACAGCACCUCAGCCCCCAGCACCACCACAUCCCCCAGCACCACUGCCAGCUCGGGGAGCAGGGCUCAGGGCAGCUCCUGGCCCCUGGCUGCCCUGCUGCUGCUGCUCACGGGCAGCCUGCUCUCCUAGAGGGGCCCCAGCCCCUCCUCCUGCUNNNNNNNNNNGGAAUUAUUCCUCAGCAAAAGGAAAUAUUCCUCAGCAAAAGGAAAUACUCCUCAGCAAAAGGAAAUAUUCCCCAUCAGAAGGAAAUAUUCCUCAGCAAAAGGAAUACCCUCAGCAAAAGGCAAUACCCUCAGCAAAAGGAAAUAUUCCCCAGCAAAAGGAAAUGUUCCUCAGCAAAAGGAAAUGUUCCUCAGCAAAAGGAAUUAUUCCUCAGCAGAAGGAACUAUUCCCCAGCAGAGACCCCUCUGCCCUGGCUUUCCAGACACAAAAAGGGGUGAGCAGAGCCACGGGACGCUCAUGGAUCCAUGAUUUCCUCAUCGCCUGUGAUUCUGUGAAGCAGAAGAGAGGAGAAUUCUUCCUCCUCCUCCUCCUCAUCCUCCUCCUCCCCUCAGAAGCUCCAGGAGGGCUCUGGGUCUGCAUCUUCAUCCCCACAUCGUUAUUUGGUCCAAAAUCCCUCAAAUUUUGUUCUUUCAGCAGAUGACAAACUUUCUCUUUGUUUUCCCUCUAUUUUUUUUUUUCAUGGAAAGUCAAGGUGGGCAUUUUGUGUUCUUCUUUUUUAUUUUUUUUUUAAUCAACAGCUGAUUUUGCUGUAGGGCAAGAUUAUUCUGUGGGCCAAUGGAUGUCUUGAUUUUAUUGUUGUUCAUAUUUUUUCUAUGGGCAAAACAUUUAUUUAGACAUUUUCCAACUUGUGGGAAGCAAUUUUUUUUUUCCUUAAGCUGAUCUAAAUAAAAUAAGGAAUUAAAAUUGGUUCUUGCA
rnacentral:lncRNA from 1 species